UGGUUCUGGCAUCGAUGAAGAACGCAGCGAAAUGCGAUAAGUAAUGUGAAUUGCAGAAUUCCGUGAAUCAUCGAAUCUUUGAACGCAUAUUGCGCCCUUUGGCAUUCCGAAGGGCAUGUCUGUUCGAGCGUCAUUUUACACCUCUCAAACCCCCUCUGGGGGGGGGUUUGGCGUUGGGUGCUUGCUUUUCCCCCUUUCUAAGGGAAGGCACACCUGAAAAAUAGUGAUGGUCAACCGUUACCUCGGGCGCACAAUCGUCGCCAUGUCAGGCAAUGGUUUUAACCAGACUUUUUCAUUUUUAAUCAUGUUGACCUCGGAUCAGGUAGGGAUACCCGCUGA
rnacentral:misc_RNA from 1 species